AUUGAACGCUGGCGGCAUGCCUUACACAUGCAAGUCGAACGGCAGCACGGGAGCAAUCCUGGUGGCGAGUGGCGAACGGGUGAGUAAUAUAUCGGAACGUGCCCAGUCGUGGGGGAUAACGUAGCGAAAGCUACGCUAAUACCGCAUACGAUCUAUGGAUGAAAGCGGGGGAUCGCAAGACCUCGCGCGAUUGGAGCGGCCGAUAUCAGGUUAGGUAGUUGGUGAGGUGAAGGCUCACCAAGCCGACGAUCUGUAGCUGGUCUGAGAGGACGACCAGCCACACUGGGACUGAGACACGGCCCAGACUCCUACGGGAGGCAGCAGUGGGGAAUUUUGGACAAUGGGCGCAAGCCUGAUCCAGCAAUGCCGCGUGCAGGAUGAGGGCCUUCGGGUUGUAAACUGCUUUUGUACGGAACGAAACGGCGAGCUCUAGUACAGUUUGCUAAUGACGGUACCGUAAGAAUAAGCACCGGCUAACUACGUGCCAGCCGCCGCCGUAU
rnacentral:rRNA from 1 species